rnacentral:rRNA from 1 species
UACGGAGGGUGCAAGCGUUGUCCGGAUUUAUUGGGCUUAAAGGGCGCGUAGGCGGCCUUAUAAGUCAGCGGUGAAAGUCUGCAGCUUAACUGUAGAACUGCCAUUGAUACUGUAAGGCUUGAGUACUGAUGAGGUAGGCGGAAUUGAUAGUGUAGCGGUGAAAUGCAUAGAUAUUAUCAAGAACACCGAUUGCGAAGGCAGCUUACUAAGGAGUUACUGACACUGAGGCACGAAAGCGUGGGGAUCAAACAGG